rnacentral:rRNA from 1 species
UACGUAGGGUGCAAGCGUUAAUCGGAAUUACUGGGCGUAAAGCGUGCGCAGGCGGUUUCGUAAGUCUGUCGUGAAAUCCCCGGGCUCAACCUGGGAAUGGCGAUGGAGACUGCGAGGCUAGAGUUUGGCAGAGGGGGGUAGAAUUCCACGUGUAGCAGUGAAAUGCGUAGAGAUGUGGAGGAACACCGAUGGCGAAGGCAGCCCCCUGGGUCAAAACUGACGCUCAUGCACGAAAGCGUGGGGAGCAAACAGGAUUAGAUACCCUGGUAGUCCACGCCCUAAACGAUGUCUACUAGUUGUUGGGUCUUAAUUGACUUAGUAACGCAGCUAACGCGUGAAGUAGACCGCCUGGGGAGUACGGUCGCAAGAUUA